CAAAAAUUAGUUAAUCAUUAUAACAUAGGGUUGUCAUUCCUAAGUAAUCUUUUGGGAUAUUUUUGU
rnacentral:tRNA from 1 species